rnacentral:rRNA from 1 species
AACGAACGCUGGCGGCAUGCCUAACACAUGCAAGUCGAACGAGACCUUCGGGUCUAGUGUCGCGCGGGUGCGUAACCGGUGGGAACCUGCCUUUGGGUUCGGAAUAACUCCCCGAAAGGGGUGCUAAUACCGGAUAUUAUCUUCGGACCAAAGAGUUAUCGCCUUUGGAUGGGCCCGAGUUGGAUUAGCUAGUUGGUAGGGUAAAAGGCUACCAAGGCGACGAUCCGUAGCUGGUCUGAGAGGAUGAUCAGCCACACUGGGACUGAGACACGGCCCAGACUCCUACGGGAGGCAGCAGUGGGGAAUAUUGGACAAUGGGCGAAAGCCUGAUCCAGCAAUGCCGCGUGAGUGAUGAAGGCCUUAGGGUUGUAAAGCUCGUUUACCCGGGAUGAUAAUGACAGUACCGGGAGAAUAAGCACCGGCUAACUCCGUG